AUCUUUUUAAUAUAAGCAAGUAUAGGUGACUUCCAAUCACCCAGUCUUGGUUAAAGCCCAAGGAAAGAUA
rnacentral:tRNA from 1 species